CUCAGCGCAGACAACAGGGUGGUUCGGAGGCAGCUCGACGGCGUGUUAUCAGGGUCGUCCCAACCAGCUCUGCCCCCCCGGCGUCCCCUUGUCUGCGCACGGCUGGUGGUACGAUCCGCGAGGCUCGAUAAGAACCCCUCCUCUCUGUCUCCCCCUGUUCUAUCAGUGCUAGGGUGUAGCUACUGAUCCUAUACUACAGCAGAGAGAGUGAGAGCGUGAGGGAGGAGGGACAUCAGGUGUCACAUCUCUGCCACCCCAGUUGAGGCUGCAUUACCACGACAACCAGCUCCAGGGAUGCUGCCAGCUCUCUGCGUCGCCAGCCCAGCAGCCAGCCGACCGCCCAGCCAUCCAGCUAUCUACCCGUCCAUCCGCCCGCCCAGCCAGCGAGGCCGGCCCUGCCCAGAACUGGCAACCUGCAGGAGUCAUCAGGGCUUCGUGGAAAAAAAGAAAAGAGGACGCGUGUGAGGACUAAACUCAUCUCAGAGAUUUAGAUAGGUUUUCUAAGUUGUCACAGAUGUAGCGAAGAUUAGGAGAGAGAGGAGAAGGGAGAGCUGACGCUGCCCCCGGGGAGGACGCAAUGAGAUGGAACCAUUUCACUUCUUUCCAAAAUGAAAAACUCUUCCACCAUCAGGACGCCAUCUGCUGGCUCGGUGGGGCGGGACAGCUGGUGUUGUGAAUCAGGCCGCCGAAAUCUAGGGACCGGCUACUUCCCAACACCAGGGUCGCACCCUCACCCCUCACGUCUUCUCAGGCUUUCACCUGAAGAGUUCAGUCAUUUUAAAUAGUGUUUCAUACUCUCAUGUCUGAUGUAAUGGGGAUUCAUUACUUGUAACACUAGGACUAGCUCCAAAUCUGUGUGAAGUAGAUUUCCUUUGCAUUGCAUCCUCUCAAAUUAUGAAUUCCAAAUAAAGAUAUUAAACUACA